GGAAACCCAGUGUGAUUCGUCACACUAUCAUUAACUGAAUCCAUAGGUUAAUGAGGCGAACCGGGGGAACUGAAACAUCUAAGUACCCCGAGGAAAAGAAAUCAACCGAGAUUCCCCCAGUAGCGGCGAGCGAACGGGGAGGAGCCCAGAGCCUGAAUCAGCAUGUGUGUUAGUGGAAGCGUCUGGAAAGGCGCGCGAUACAGGGUGACAGCCCCGUACACAAAAGCGCAUGUGCUGUGAGCUCGAUGAGUAGGGCGGGACACGUGGUAUCCUGUCUGAAUAUGGGGGGACCAUCCUCCAAGGCUAAAUACUCCUGACUGACCGAUAGUGAACCAGUACCGUGAGGGAAAGGCGAAAAGAACCCCGGCGAGGGGAGUGAAAAAGAACCUGAAACCGUGUACGUACAAGCAGUGGGAGCACCCUUUGGGUGUGACUGCGUACCUUUUGUAUAAUGGGUCAGCGACUUAUAUUCUGUAGCAAGGUUAACCGAAUAGGGGAGCCGGAGGGAAACCGAGUCUUAACCGGGCGUUAAGUUGCAGGGUAUAGACCCGAAACCCGGUGAUCUAGCCAUGGGCAGGUUGAAGGUUGGGUAACACUAACUGGAGGACCGAACCGACUAAUGUUGAAAAAUUAGCGGAUGACCUGUGGCUGGGGGUGAAAGGCCAAUCAAACCGGGAGAUAGCUGGUUCUCCCCGAAAGCUAUUUAGGUAGCGCCUCGUGAAUUCAUCUCCGGGGGUAGAGCACUGUUUCGGCUAGGGGGCCAUCCCGGCUUACCAACCCGAUGCAAACUGCGAAUACCGGAGAAUGUUAUCACGGGAGACACACGGCGGGUGCUAACGUCCGUCGUGAAGAGGGAAACAACCCAGACCGCCAGCUAAGGUCCCAAAGUCAUGGUUAAGUGGGAAACGAUGUGGGAAGGCCCAGACAGCCAGGAUGUUGGCUUAGAAGCAGCCAUCAUUUAAAGAAAGCGUAAUAGCUCACUGGUCGAGUCGGCCUGCGCGGAAGAUGUAACGGGGCUAAACCAUGCACCGAAGC
rnacentral:rRNA from 1 species